AGUGAACGCUGGCGGUAGGCCUAACACAUGCAAGUCGAACGGCAGCACAGGAGAGCUUGCUCUCUGGGUGGCGAGUGGCGGACGGGUGAGGAAUACAUCGGAAUCUACCUUUUCGUGGGGGAUAACGUAGGGAAACUUACGCUAAUACCGCAUACGACCUACGGGUGAAAGUGGGGGACCGCAAGGCCUCACGCGAUUAGAUGAGCCGAUGUCCGAUUAGCUAGUUGGCGGGGUAAUGGCCCACCAAGGCGACGAUCGGUAGCUAGUCUGAGAGGAUGAUCAGCCACACUGGAACUGAGACACGGUCCAGACUCCUACGGGAGGCAGCAGUGGGGAAUAUUGGACAAUGGGCGCAAGCCUGAUCCAGCCAUACCGCGUGGGUGAAGAAGGCCUUCGGGUUGUAAAGCCCUUUUGUUGGGAAAGAAAUCCUGUCGAUUAAUACUCGGUGGGGAUGACGGUACCCAAAGAAUAAGCACCGGCUAACUUCGUG
rnacentral:rRNA from 1 species